rnacentral:rRNA from 1 species
UACAGAGGGGGCAAGCGUUGCUCGGAAUCACUGGGCGUAAAGGGCGCGUAGGCGGGAUGGCAAGUCGGUCGUGAAAUCCUUCGGCUCAACCGAAGAACGUCGGCCGAUACUGCCGUUCUUGAGGGAUGCAGAGGAGACUGGAAUUCCCGGUGUAGCGGUGAAAUGUGUAGAGAUCGGGAGGAACACCGGUGGCGAAGGCGGGUCUCUGGGCAUCUCCUGACGCUGAGGCGCGAAAGCGUGGGGAGCAAACGGG